GAGAAGUCUGGAAUGAGAAGGGUUGGAAAAACUGGAUCAGAACUCGGCACUGCAAUGCUCUAUUUUUUUUUGCAAAGAUUUGACUACAAGUGCUGAAUUUGGAACAUGCUCAGCAAUUCCCACCCAGCUCUUCCUCUUACCCUGAUCCACUUUGUGAAUGACACAGUUGCAAAGGGAAAAGUCCAGGCCGUUUUAAAUUUCUGUGUUCUUGCUGACUACAUAGAAACCAGAGAGAGUCAUUUUCACAGAGGAACUGAGCCAAGACUGCCAAAUCAUUCCACAGAUUGGCCUCCAGCUGCAGCCUCAUCUGUGGGGUGUAAAUAACAACGUGGAAGAUUCUCAGGUGAUGAAUUGUGCCUGUUCUUCGGAAACAACACAUCCUCAGCGAUGUGUGAGUCAUGAUACCUGCAAAGAUGAUAAAAAUGAGCUGUCUAAGUGUGUUAUGGUUUGUCUCUUUGAGCUUUGCCUGUGGCCCAUUAACAGUCCCUUGGUGUUGUCAAAGGAGCCAUGCCAAUUUACAUUAGUUUGGAACAGUUUAUAUAAAUGGGUUAAUCUAACACUCUGAAUCGUGUGCUUUGAAUUUAAACAGCAACUUGGUCUUUGCUUACUGAUCUGCUCUUUGAGGCAGACCAAACCUCACAGGAAACCAAACAGCACAGCCAAAGCCUCUUCUAUUAACUGAGCUUCCAAGUUAUUUUGUCCCUUAUGAAAUGAAGUGUUUUCUAAUAUGCUGUGAAUUAAUAGAAGUGAUCACGCAUUGCUAACUACAACAUUUCACAGAUUCUCACUGUAUGUAAAAUGUUGACUUUUGCUUUAUUUGGAGAGAAGAAAAAACUGUGUUUAUGUUUAAAUUUCCUCAACCAUCAGGCUUGGGGCAGAGUGGCUGGGAAGUGGCCCAGUAGAAAAGGACCUGGGGUUGCUGGCUGACAGCUGAACUUGAGCCGGUGUGUGCCCAGGUGGCCAAGGGCAACCUUGCUUGUACCAGCAAUAGUGUGGCCAGCAGGACUAGGGCAGUGCUGGCCACUGCUGAGGCCAGACUUGAAUCCUGUGCUCAGUUUUGGGCCCCUCACAACAAGAGAGGCACUGGGGGGCUGGAGUGCGUCCAGAGAAGGGAACAGAGCUGGGGAAG